ensembl:lncRNA
GAGGGAGUCUCAGGCCUCCUGAGUUAAGGACUGUCUCUAAAACAGAAGCUUGCUACUGCUAGCUCCUCCUUGCCUGUUCUAUCCAUGUCUCAGUAUUUCUCUGUGGGAAAGGGGAAUCUCCGGCCUUCUAGCAAAGGAGAGUGCUUUUCCCUGGACACUUAAUUUUGGCAGAGCUUCUGGUAGAUCCACGUUGCUGGUCAUAUUUGUGUUGAGCUCUUCUGAUGUCAUAUGUACUCUGCUAUAUUCAGGGGAGGAAUGAACCUACCAGGGACACAUUCUAUGGCUUGCCUGGAGACAUUUCAGAUGCUGGCAGGAGGACUGUCUGGAACUGACAACACCAGCCGUAAUUACUGAGGAGACACUGCAAUUAUCUGUCUGGUGAGAAAAAACAUGGAUUUUGUAGAGGAAGGCGAGAAGAACAUCUAAUAUUUAUUGAAUACUUACUGCGUAAUAGAUACCACACAUACAAUAUUUCCCUGAACUGACAGUCUCCUGCAGUGGGAUCACCAAUCGACUGAUGAGCAAAUAUCAACUCAAAGAAUUGCCCUAAGUAACAUAACCAGUAAAUGGUAGAGCUAAGAUCUGAAUCUAUGAUUUCCAUACAAUAUUUUUA